rnacentral:misc_RNA from 1 species
ACACCCUCAAGCUCUGCUUGGUGUUGGGCGUCUGUCCCGCUUUACACGUGGACUCGCCCCAAAGUCAUUGGCAGCGGUCGUGCCAGCUUCUCGCGCAGCACAUUUGCGUUUCUCGAAGUCUGGUGGAUCGGCGUCCACAAAGCUCUUUUAUG